UACGUAGGUGGCAAGCGUUGUUCGGAAUUACUGGGCGUAAAGGGCGCGCAGGCGGCUGCUCAAGUCAGGCGUGAAAGGCCUGGGCUCAACCCGGGAAUUGCGCUUGAGACUGGGCUGGCUUGAGUGCGGGAGAGGAUGGUGGAAUUCCCAGUGUAGAGGUGAAAUUCGUAGAUAUUGGGAAGAACACCGGUGGCGAAGGCGGCCAUCUGGACCGCAACUGACGCUGAGGCGCGAAAGCGUGGGGAGCAAACAGGG
rnacentral:rRNA from 1 species